UAUGGUCAUAUCACAUUGAAACAUUGGUUCCCAUAUGAUUACUGGAGUUAAGCAAUGUUAAGCCUGGUCAGUACCUAAAUGGGUGACUGCUUGGGAAUGCCAGGUGCUGUAAG